AUUGAACGCUGGCGGCAGGCCUAACACAUGCAAGUCGAACGAGUGGCGGACGGGUGAGUAAUGUCUGGGAAACUGCCCGAUGGAGGGGGAUCACUACUGGAAACGGUAGCUAAUACCGCAUACCAUCGGAUGUGCCCAGAUGGGAUUAGCUUGUAGGUGAGGUAACGGCUCACCUAGGCGACGACCCCUAGCUGGUCUGAGAGGAUGACCAGACACACGGGAACGUAGACACGGUCCAGACGCCUACGGGCGGCAGCAUAGGGGAUGAUUGCACAAUGGGCGCAAGCCUGAUGCAGACAUGCCGCGUGUAUGAAGAAGGCCUUCGGGUUGUAAAGUACUUUCAGCGGGGAGGCGUUACCCGCAGAAGAAGCACCGGCUAACGCCGUGCCAGCAGCCGCGGUAAUAC
rnacentral:rRNA from 1 species